ACAGAGGUGGCGAGCGUUGUUCGGAUUUACUGGGCGUAAAGGGUGCGUAGGUGGUUUCGUAUGUCGGAUGUGAAAGCCCGCUGCUCAACGGCGGAAAUGCAUUCGAAACUGCGGAACUGGAGUGCAGGAGGGGAGAGCGGAAUACUCGGUGUAGCGGUGAAAUGCGUUGAUAUCGAGUAGAACACCGGUGGCGUAGGCGGCUCUCUGGAAUGCAACUGACACUGAGGCACGAAAGUCAGGGGAGCAAACAG
rnacentral:rRNA from 1 species